GUGAGGAAUUUUCCGCAAUGGGCGAAAGCCUGACGGAGCAAUGCCGCGUGAAGGACGAAGGCCUAUGGGUUGUAAACUUCUUUUCUCAGAAAAGAAUUAUGACGGUAUCUGAGGAAUAAGCAUCGGCUAACUCUGUGCCAGCAGCCGCGGUAAGACAGAGGAUGCAAGCGUUAUCCGGAAUGAUUGGGCGUAAAGCGUCUGUAGGUUGUUUAAAAAGUAUUCUGUCAAAGAUUAGGGCUUAACCCUAGAUAGGCAGAAUAAACUUUUAAGCUAGAGUUUGGUAGAGGCAGAGGGAAUUCCCGGUGGAGCGGUGAAAUGCGUAGAUAUCGGGAGGAACACCAAAGGCGAAGGCACUCUGCUGGGCCAAUACUAACACUGAGAGACGAAAGCGAGGGGAGCAAAUGGGAUUAGAAACCCGUGUAGUCC
rnacentral:rRNA from 1 species